GACGAACGCUGGCGGCGUGCUUAACACAUGCAAGUCGAACGGAAAGGCCCUGCUUGCAGGGUACUCGAGUGGCGAACGGGUGAGUAACACGUGGGUGAUCUGCCCUGCACUUCGGGAUAAGCUUGGGAAACUGGGUCUAAUACCGGAUAGGAGCCAUCUUUAGUGUGGUGGUUGGAAAGUUUUUUCGGUGUAGGAUGAGCUCGCGGCCUAUCAGCUUGUUGGUGGGGUAAUGGCCUACCAAGGCGGCGACGGGUAGCCGGCCUGAGAGGGUGUACGGCCACAUUGGGACUGAGAUACGGCCCAGACUCCUACGGGAGACAGCAGUGGGGAAUAUUGCACAAUGGGCGCAAGCCUGAUGCAGCGACGCCGCGUGGGGGAUGAAGGCCUUCGGGUUGUAAACUCCUUUCGCUAGGGACGAAGCUUUGUUGUGACGGUACCUAGAUAAGAAGCACCGGCUAACUACGUG
rnacentral:rRNA from 1 species